GGUACCUUGUGGUAUGAACAUAAUAAAUUAUUGUGUUACUUCAUUACGUUUAGCGUGUAUGUUUACAUUGAGUAUCUGUCAUAUGUGGAGAUGUUGUUAUUGUUGUCUGGAGUGUGAAUCAUUGUAUGUUAUAUUGAAGUAUCGGUAAUAAAGUGUAUACAAAUAAUGAAUACAGUUGUUGAAUAAUCAUUACAGAGAAAGAUUCUCACAUUGGCGACGAGAACGGUGAACAGUGCAUGUGAAAUAAGUUUAAUUUCGGUUCGGGAAGUGUUGUCUUUGGAAAAAGAAAGAGAUGAGUGGUGUGUGUGGUGCAUGCAGAGUGGUGAUGACCUUCAGGUGAUGACUUGUGAUUGAAUUUCAACAUUGGAAUCAAAAAGGUACAACCAUAAGUAACAGCCAAGUAAUUUACCAAAAUGCCGAGCAGAGAUGGAUGACCAAAUGGAUGACUGUACUACUAAUUCUGAUGUGAGACUGAAGCGAGACGUUCAUAAACUGAGGAGACUAUAAGCGAAAACAACGUGGAGUAACCUUGCUGCGGAUCUGGAGAAAAAACGAGAUGUGGUACCUUGUGGUAUGAACAUAAUAAAUUAUUGUGUUACUUCAUUACGUUUAGCGUGUAUGUUUACAUUGAGUAUCUGUCAUAUGUGGAGAUGUUGUUAUUGUUGUCUGGAGUGUGAAUCAUUGUAUGUAAUAUUGAAGUAUCGGUAAUAAAGUGUAUACAAAUAAUGAA